rnacentral:rRNA from 1 species
CACGUAGGGGGCGAGCGUUGUCCGGAUUUAUUGGGCGUAAAGAGCUCGUAGGCGGUCUGUCGCGUCUGCCGUGAAAGUCCGGGGCUCAACUCCGGAUCUGCGGUGGGUACGGGCAGACUAGAGUGAUGUAGGGGAGACUGGAAUUCCUGGUGUAGCGGUGAAAUGCGCAGAUAUCAGGAGGAACACCGAUGGCGAAGGCAGGUCUCUGGGCAUUAACUGACGCUGAGGAGCGAAAGCAUGGGGAGCGAACAGG